rnacentral:lncRNA from 1 species
AAUGCGGGGGGGGGGGGGGCCCUUACGCCUUGCGUCAACACCGUAAUUGCUUCGUCUGCCUCUUGGUUCAGGGAGUAGAUGGAGGGAGCCGCCUGGGUGAGGACUCAAUUGGGAGGCCUUUCUUUCUAACCCGAGCCUGGCCUCCGGGGAGCUGUGUGACCCAGGGUGUGAUCAUAAGUGCGCUCUGCCUCAGUUCCUUCGCUUGUCCCGUGAGGCUGAGAAGAGCCUCGUCAGAGUGUGGUCACACUGGCUCGUGGAACGGUCUCUAGGCUUCUUUGAGCACUUCCUGGGUCAGCACUUGUAUGAGCUCUGUGGCUCCUCAAGCGACCUAGGAGCUGGAUUUCCAUCAGUGCCCCAUUUCAGAGAGGAGGACCCCGAGACACAGGAAAGCUAAGUACCUUGCCCAAGGUCACACAGCUGUGAAUGGACAGUGACGAGUUUGACCCCCUGGGUGUGGAGUCAGACCACCUGCGUUUGCACCUGCUGCCGACAGACCUGCUCCUCACCUCUCUGAAUCCCAGUGUUCUCGUCUGUCACGGGGAGCAGGACUCGUUCCCAGCUUGCAGGUUGGCUGUGUGCACUCAGGAGAUAACCUUGUGACGGGCUUGACACAGCACUUUGUACACACUGGGUGCUCCAGAGAUGCCAGGACUAGAAAUGGCCUGGACAGCUGACUCGUCUGGGGUGGAGUCUGAGCGUACCCUGAAGCAUCCUUGUACAUUUGAAGCUGUUUCCUGGAUGAUUCUCUCUCACCAUGGCAUGUGAAGAAACUGAGGCUCAAAGUGACAUUAAGGGAAUUACAAAAAGAAGUGAGAGAACUUAAGCUUUAAGAGGUUGCGCAAUUCGCUCAAAUUUGUCCAGCUCAAAGUGCAAUCGUGAAGCCUGAAGAUAUUGGAUGCCUUGGAAGAGGAAUACAGCCUUGGAGGCACAGCCUGGGGAUGUCUUACUAUGACCUUUCACUCCUUCCUAAGCCAAGAAAAGAAAGUGGGUCCAACUGGCUGUUAGAAAAGCUUCCCCAAAGGUUUGGAUAAACUGAGUGGUUUCAGGCACCCUGUGACCCUGCAGGCAGGCUGCAAUGUGGCUGUCCCCGCCAUGGGGAGAGAGUCUUGUUUUCCUCCCCAGCAGAGCUGGGCUGGGGUUUCUGAUAGUGUUUGACUUAGCAAGUCUCCGCAUGAGCCGCUGAUCUGGUGUUGGAACAAAGCAGCAGGGAGGGAGGCCCCGCGUGGAUGAGUCAGGCGGAGACGAGGCCUCGUUUCUUGUUGAACGCUGUCCCCCUCCAGCUAUGUGCUUUUCCCCAACAGCCAAGCUUGGUCCGCACAAGUCUGGGCUGCCCUCUCCCCACCAAGGCAAACCCUGUCAAUAGCAGGAGAGAAAAAAAGGCCACGACUACACGUGAGAAGCUGUGCUUUCAGGGGAGGAUCAAGAGCCCUUCACCUCGCCCAACACUGUUUGCAUUUUGUAGAACAAACACUGGAGUUUAAGUUACAUCCUCGAAUUCAAUAUUUGGCAUGGGAUAAUAAUCGCUGGUGACUUCUCCACGUGGUGCCAGCUGGGCCGAGUACCAGGUGAGCAAGACAGGGCCGUUCCCUGUUUUCAAGGAGUUACAGCCUGUGGGGGAGACAGAACAGUACCCAAGCGCUUGGAGUCGAGGAUGGUCAUUGUUACGAGAUGGAGCAAUUUGGGAACAUUUAUAACCAGUGUCUUCCUGGCCACAUCGUAGUAUGACCUUUGGAAAUGCCACUUUCUCGAAUAAUAAAAUGAAGGGAAAAAUUUCCUCUCUUCUACCUACCAAAUGGGACAUUUGGAUAAUUUUCAAGAGAAAAAGAUCUGCUCCCAAAAGUGACACUUUGCUUGUUUAUUCAGCAACUACUCAUUGAGUAUCUCUUGGAUCCUGGGUGUGCUGUGUAUUGUGAAUAUAGCAAUGCUCAGGGAGAAAAACCCUGGGUAGUUAAUUAUGCAGAAACCCUUCUAUUACAAUUACGUAAAUGCGUCCAAGGAAACGCUCAGUUUAUAAGAAGAGUGUGUGCUGGGCAAGUGGCUGGGGAAGAAGUAUGACAUCCUGGGGCUGACGGAUAGUAAGAAGACCCUCUCUGGGACGCCGCUUAUUGCUGCUGGUGCACCAAAGGAGACGAGGGAGCAAUCUUUGAGCGAGAAGAGAGAAGCAAGCGCGGACAACAUGUGGCUGUUAAGAGCCCAGAGACCUUCUCGUCAGGACGCAGUGCUUCCUUCAGACCACGUGGUCAGAACACCGUUUCUUAAAGUGUGGUCCGUGUACCAUCUACCUCAGAGUCCCUGGGAUGCUUGUUAAAUCUGAAGGUUCCCAGACUCCGAUCCACUGAAUCCCAAUGCGGGUGCAUCAGGAGUCAGCAUUCUGAACUAGCUCCCUGGCGAUUUUUACACACUCGAUGAUUUGAGGACUUUUGCACUGAUUUAGAUGCUCGUGUAUGAGACCCUCAAGUGACCUCUGCGCCCUUUCGCUUUUGUCUCUGAAUCAAGUCUGGGAUUACUUCACAGGGAACAUAAAGGAAAGUCACCAGUCAGGCAUUUGGAAGCAGCGAGGAGCCAACUUCAUUCUAGGUGAAAUUGAAAUCUUCACAGUGUGGAAAAGUGGAAAGAGAACUGAACUGGAAACCGUAACUUUUGUUUGAGUUUGGCUCUGUCACUCACUAUGUAUGGCCAUGGAAAGUAAUUUCUCCUCUCUCGUUGUUUGCUUGUUCAUAAAAUGAUAGCAUUUUCCAAACUUCAGUCAACGGAGUACCACCUUCAAAAUUGCAUCACCUGUGCUGUUAGAAAUAUUUUUCUUUUAAUAAUUACUUGAGUUUAAUUUGAAAAGGAGCUUUAUAUCAUUACUAUAAAUGGAGAACCAAUCAUCACUUACUAUAAUUAGAAAGUCAUACCUGUAAAAUAUAUAACAAUUAAAAAAUUUAGGGGGCUGGCCCCAAGGUGCAGUGGUUAAGUUUGCACACUGUGCUUCAGCAGCCCGGGGUUCACAUGCUUGCAUCCUGGGUGCAGACCUACAUGCUGCUCAUCAAGCCAUGCUGUGGCAGGUCCCACAUACAAAAAAAUAGAGGAAGAUUGGCACAGAUGUUAGCUCAGGACCAAUCUUCCUCAGCAAAAAAUAAUAAAAAAAAAUUUUAAUUUAAAAAGUUUAUCCCUGAGGCUCUAAUUAUCAACUGUUAAUGUAUGAUACUGUUAUCAUAUUUUGGGAAACAGCAAAUUAGAUGCUAUUUAAGACCAUUUUCUUUUUUAUAGAUCUAAGUAUUUAUUGGAGUAUCAUGCAAAUGGUUAUUUCAUUAUUUCUGGGAGGAAAAAAAAGUCCAAAUUCAUGAAGCAAUUUCUGAAAAAUCAACCUUGGGUAUUGUUAGGCAAAAAUUCCAUAACAAAAGCUAUGAAAAAACAAUGACCUUUUUUUCUCAAAAAGAAGAAAGCAUUUAAUGCUACUCAAAUCUUUAAUUAAAUGCUUAUAUCAGAUAUACAGUAUUAAAACAAGAAAUAUUUUCCCUAAUUAUAUCUGCUACUUUCAUCUGUUUCUUUUUUCAAAUCAUUAAAACUAGAACAAAUUAGAAAAAAUGUUACAGUGUUAGCAGAAAUGAAAUUCCAAAUCUAUUUACAGUUUACUUAUUGUGCAUCAUUUUUUCCUACUUUAUUGAGAUAUAAUUGAUGUCUAACAAUGUGUAACUUUAAGGUGUACAGUGUGUUGACUUGAUAUACUUACAUGUUGCAAUAUGACCACCAGCACGCAAUAACUACUGGAGUGCUAGCCAACACCUCCAUCACCUCACAUAGUUACCAUUUCUUUUUGUGGUGAGAACAUUUAAGAUCUAAUCUCUUAGCAACUUUCGAGUACACAGUACAGUAAUCUGUGCUAUAAAAGAUGACAGUUCUGGCAGAAAUGAAAUUCCAAAUCUAUUCACACUAUACUGAUGGUCCCUCAUUUUUCCCAGCCUUAUUGAGAUAUAAUUGACAGAAGUGGGGUUGCUGGAUCAUAUGAUAGCCCUAUUUUUAGUUUUUUGAGGAAACUCUAUAUUAUUUUCCACAAUGUGUGUACCAAUUUACAUUCCCACCAAAGGUGCACAAGGCUGCUCCUUUCUCCACAUCGUCACCAACACUUAUUUCGCGUCUUUUUGAUGACAGCCGUUCUAACAGGUGUGAGGUGAUGUCUCAUUGUGGAUUUGAUUUGCAUUUCCCUGAUGAUUAGUGAUGUUGAGCACCUUUUCACGUAGCUGUUGGCCACUCGUAUGUCUUCUCUGUAAAAUGUCUAUUCAGUUCCUCUGCCAAUAUUUUAAUUGGAUUUUUCUGUUGUUUUUAUUGAGUUGUAUGAGUUCUUUAUAUAUUUUUGAUAUUAGUCCCUUAUCAGAUAUAUGGUUCAGAGCACCUAAAUAUAUUAAGCAGAUACUAACAGGUUUGAAGGGAGAAAUAGACAACAAUAUGAUAUUGGUAGCAGACUUCAGUACCCUGCUUUCAGCAAUGGUUAGAUCAUUCAGACAGAAAUCAGCAAGGAAACCUUGGGCUUGAACCAUGUUUUAGGCCAAAUGGACCUAACAGACAUAUAUAGAACAUGCCAGCCAAUAGCAGCAGAGGGCACAUCCACAUGGGGCCAGAAGUGCUUCUUUCCCCACCCCCUCAGGGGAGACGGGCUGGCUGGAAGGGUCUGCAGUUGGGUAUUUCCCUCCCCCCAGGUAGGUUGGGCUCUGAGACAACGGAGCAGAUUAGGCUCCAGUGAAACAGUUUCUCCUGAGGGCUGGCUUUGUCAGGAACAGAAUAAUCUGGUACAUUUCAAAACAACUCCUUUUCCCCUCCCCCUGCUGGAAGAACAGGGGGUUUUUCUGUGAUAUUCACUCUGAGAACCUGGUAGAGCUCCUGGGGGUAAAACUCACAAAAGUGUGGGGCCCCCUAGGACUGGGCACCCGGGAGUUGUUGUCUCUCGGGCUUGUCCACACUGAGCCUCCAGCAAUUCGCCGAUUAUAGUUCGGUUUUGCUACCCUGCUUCUGGUUCCUGUGGAGGCUUCUGCUCUGGUGUGUUGUGAUUCUCUGUGUCUGCUUUUCUGUCUCCACAAUUUUGGGGGCAGCAGUUUGCCCUUUGACCUCACUUAACUGUUGGAUCUAAGAAGAGCUCUUGAUUUUUUUCAGUUUGUUCAGGAUUUACUCUUUGCCGGGAUGGAGCGAGGGCUUCGAAGCUCCUAACAUGCUGCUCCAGAAACUGGCAGUUCCCUGCUGAAAUGUUUUGAAUAGAUAGCCAUGUCUGGAUGUGAUGCCUGGAACUUCUGCAGCCAUUUUACCAGCUUGAGGAUGAAGCACAUACAUGAAGGAAGACAGAACAAGAGAGCUAUGGAGAGGCAGGACUGGGGAUAUAUGAUAUGAGGAUCCUGCCUUAUUCCUGGACCUCAUGUUUUGUUAGAUAAAAAAUUUUCUUAUUGUUAGAUUCAGAGUUUCUGUUAAUUGAGGCCAAAAGUAUCGUCACUGUAUAUCAUUCUUCAUCAAACAGUUCAAAAGUCACUUCCUCAGGGGAGCCUUCCUUGAGCCCCAUUGCCCACAGAUUAGACCCGUCCUCUUCUUCGAUGCUCUUGCAGCCUCCUGGACUUUCCCUCUAUGGCCCUUACCACAAUUCAUAAUAAUUUAUUUCUGUGAUUAUCUGAUCAAUGCCUGAUAUUCCCACCAGCUCUGUGAGGGCCCUUGUCUGUCUUGCUCCGCUGUAUUCCUAGAGCACUGACUGUGUCUGGCACACCGUGGGUGCUCAUGAAUAUUGCUAGAAUGGGUAGAUUAACACAUAAACCUGUAUGGACGGCUCCAUGGGAGAGAGAGGAGAGGCUGCUCCAGCCUGACUGGGAGAAUCAGGGGCGGUUUCACGUUGAGGGGAAACUUAAGCAGAAAUUGUGCAAGAGGAAGAGGAGGAGUUUUCUAGGCAUAAAAGGUGGUAGGGAAGAGUAUUCAAGACAGCCAGAAGGACGGGUGCAGAGACCCAGGGGUGCUCCGGACCGUGGAGUCCAACCAGAUCACGUUCUCAUUACGAGAACUUUCGGUUCAAAUCUAUUCUCAAAAUGAUAUUGAACAUAAAGAGGUAUUUU